ensembl:lncRNA
AAAAAAUCUUGUUUGAAAUGAUCUUGGAAUAAAUAAGGGAUGGGUCAAAUUCAGAAUACACUAUCAUACCUCUUUUUUUAAAAGUAAAUCUCAUGUCUAUUUUCAAUAGUGUAUGAAAAUCUGAUUUUUAGUUGUUGUCAUCAGAAACACACACACACACACACACACACACACACACACACACACACUCACUCACUUACUCUGGCACCUUUAUCUUGCCCUUUAUUUUUCUAUGUGUGUUGCAACAUCACCCUCUGGUGUCCACGUUCAGGACUGAGCACAGCAAAAGCUGAGGGGAGGAUCAGGAGGUGGAGCUCCUCCUUACUGUUCUCAGCUCACAGGCACAGGUACCUUUUUUUUUUUUUUAAAGCUGUAAUCCAAAGCAAAGCAAGCAGAGGUUGUCAGUAAAUUCAGAAUUGGUACUGUGUGAUAAAGACUAUGGACGGCAAAGUCAAACAACCAGAUGUUUAAUUUACCUGAAUGCGAGUUAGAAUAUACAGCUCUAACUCACAAUGGGAAGUUUUGUGACUGAUCUGUUUCUGCUCCUGCUGAUUUCCACAGGACACGUUUAUGCAGUGUCUUUUUACGGUGAUGGCCACAUACACCUGCGAACAGUGGAGGCAUCUAUUCAGACAUUGCUCCACAUCCGAUUUCGAACCUCCAGUCGGGCAGGCUUGUUAUUUUUGGCAGCAGGACGCAGAGAUUUUUUGGUGUUGGAGCUGAUCUCUGGGCACCUGCAGGUAGGCUAUAGCACAUACAGUAGAAAAUUGCUGAGAUUGCUACAGGAAUUUAUUCAUGGAUAGAAUAAAAACAGGAGCAUAACUUGUAAUUUGUUCUUUUCAAAGAAUAUGAAAUUCUUGUGUGGUCAAGGGAACCAGCAUGUGGAUUUAGCUAAUAUGGCAGAUUAGCCACAGUGAAACAUGUCUAGAGGUUCUCACAUAAAUAUUGCCUCACAACUUCAAAACAAAAAGAAAAUAUUUCCCUUUGGGCUAUUUCAACUUAUUUAUAGGCAUUUACUGUCCUGAGGAAAGCCAAAGAGAAGAUUGAAUGCUCACAGCUUGGUGUCAGAUUGCUUGUAGAGGGAGAAAAAUAAACCCUUUGGCACAGGCCUCAUUUUUUAGAACAAGUUCAUUCAUGACCAAGGGUUAAGAGAGAAUGCCAUGAUAGUUUAACAAAAACUCCCAAGUACAUGGCAGAUGAACUGCUCAGGAAAGAGGUUGCAUUAAUCUUUUUGGAAUCUUUUCUCCUUUUUUCAUGUAUGUGGGGUUAACCUGCCUAUUUUUGUUUUUCAAAUGUCUCAUCAUGUCACAUCACCUGCUUACUAAUUAAAGGUUGUGUUUGGCAAUAGAAACAUAAAAGACAUUGAUUUCUUGUGUCAAUACUUUUAAUCCCUAUAUGUUAUCUGUUACUUUCCUUCUUUUCACCUUUCACCCUGGCUUUCUUCUCUUGCCUCCACCCUCACCCCUCAGGUACGUCUGGAUUUAGGCUCAGGUGAGCGUUCAUUACUUUCAGAAAACGGUAUUUAUCUUAGUGACCUUGCAUGGCACUCUAUUGCGCUCACCC